AUUGAACGCUGGCGGUAUGCUUAACACAUGCAAGUCGAACGGUAACAGGCCUUCGGGCGCUGACGAGUGGCGGACGGGUGAGUAACGCGUAGGAAUCUGCCUCAUAGUGGGGGACAACGUGUGGAAACGCACGCUAAUACCGCAUACGCCCUACGGGGGAAAGCGGGGGACCUUCGGGCCUCGUGCUAUGAGAUGAGCCUGCGUUAGAUUAGCUAGUUGGUAGGGUAAGGCCUACCAAGGCGACGAUCUAUAGCUGGUCUGAGAGGACGAUCAGCCACACUGGGACUGAGACACGGCCCAGACUCCUACGGGAGGCAGCAGUGGGGAAUAUUGGACAAUGGGCGCAAGCCUGAUCCAGCAAUACCGCGUGUGGGAAGAAGGCCCUAGGGUUGUAAAGCACUUUCAAUAGGGAGGAAAACCUGUCGGUCAAUACCCGGCAGCUUGACAUUACCUAUACAAGAAGCACCGGCUAACUCCGUGCCAGCCGCCGCCGUAAGAC
rnacentral:rRNA from 1 species